ACUCCCCUGCUAUGUUUGUGAUUGCAUUAUGUCCUUUGCCUAACAUUACAAAAAAGGGUCUUCACUCUGAUACCGGUGUGCAUGUUCCUCUGUCAAGGAUGGAAAAGCCUGAAAGUAUUAUUUGGAGACCCACAUAUUGAACCUUCGGUUCAAAGACAUUUGCAACACGGCACUAUGUGGGGGUUUA
rnacentral:other from 1 species